UUUGUUAAGGAGUCUGUGCAGUCCCUGCUUUGAGCUUUGGCCAUUCAAAGUGCUGCCUAGCAGCCCAAGGCUUGGGCAAACAGUAUCCACACCCCUGAGUGUCUCCUAGCAUGCGUGACUGUCAUGCUGACUGUGGCAACACCGGUUCUACCUGUUCCACACCCUGUGUCUGUGGCGCUGAGGUGCCUUCUCUCCCACAUGGCCUCCUAAUGCCCUGCUCUGUUCUGUGACAGACUCCAAAGACCAGCUGCUUCUGUACAGCCAUCUGCCGAUGAUAGUGUGUUACCUGGCAGUGUCCCUUGCCCUGGUGCCAGUCUCACUAGGAUGGUGGCACCUCAGGUUCAUGCCUCCUCCUCCUCUGACCACUGCCCUCCUGUACCUACUAUGGAUUCUCUUCUCCUUUCACAGGUAGCUUGUUCACUAGGGCCAAGUGCCCUUCCUGGGGACCGGGUUGGGGGAAGGCUGAGACUGGGCUUUUCCUUGAGGUCUGGGAAGAGGGAACAUUGUUCGAAUGAGCUUGGGAGCUCGGCUCUACCCGUUGUGGGUGAGUCUUACAGAAACUGGAUGACCAUCUCAUAUGUUUCUUCCUAUACAGAAUUAUGAGGCUGGCCCCAAUCUCAUGGAUGGAAGCAAGUGGGUGUCUCCUAUGGGGGCAGCAGUCUCUAGGCCGAGGGAGUCAGGGAGGCCACUGUGCAAGACCUUCUUUCCCACCGGGCCACCCCCAUGUCUCUGCCCUUAGGACCUUCUCAUUGACCAAGAGCCUGCGACAACUCUCCCAAUAGCUCGGUGGUGUUGCUUCUGAGAUACUUCAGAAAUUGAGGGCAAGCGGGGAGUGUGGGAGGAAGGAAAGUAUGACAGAAACUGAGGCAAGGAUUCACGACAGAGAGGAAAGAUCUUGAGACUGGCUGAUUUGCUGGGCAAUUUUGAGGAAGCCGCUUCUUCCCUGAACCUUCUCCUUUGAAGCUGUUCACAUGAAGGAGCUGGAUCCCGUGACUGGUGACAUCAUUUUACCCUGCUGCAGCGGCUCCGGAUGAGAGCUGCUCGGGAGGGAGGGAUGGCGGGGAAAUAAGAACCAUAAGAGAAGCUGGCACAAAGAGGUUACAGGACAAAGGGUCCAAGUUAGGCAGAAAAGAAAACGUUGCCAGUUGCUGGGGAAGAAAGGGAGUCAGAGGGCUUAGACUGGGAGGGGACAGAGCAUCUUCACGUGCACUCUCCGCUCUUGUAGUCGGCUACAUGUUUCCAUCAAAAGGGUCCUGAAUCAUCUGCUACCAUGAAAGAUCUGGAGGUAAGGGGCCCUGGGCCACAGUGACUCUGCAGGCCAGCCCUCCAACUUCAUCCCGCAGCGGGGGGUUGGUGCCCCUCUGCCAGCUGAGACAGCUCAUUCCCCUCCCAACCCCAAUGAUUGCUCUCUACCCCUUCCACCCCUCCUCUCUGCAUGUGCCUCAGAGCUGAUGCCAAGAGGUAACAGUCACCCUGGAAUUGAGUUAUGUAACUAUCAAUCAAUUCACUAAAACCAUCAAGUCAUUGGUAAGAGUCCAGUGGGGUCCCUGAUUCCACACUCCAAGUCCUGGGCUCCAGUUUCCCUUUGGGGCCCUGAAGAAAGGGGUGGGGGGGUCCCUGGUGCCAAGGGCAAAUGGGGACCUGGGGGGCCUAGGCCUCAGCUGGAGGUACCCCGGAGCACAGAACAUGCAACAUGGCUCUUCCAUUGCUGCCCGCUUUGCCUACUGUCUCUUCUGCAGACACCUUUGCUCUAGUCCUUGCCACACACGCCCUGGGGUUGUUGCUUCUCCGGGAAAUGCUAGCCUGAUUGGUUGUCAGGAGCUCCAUACUUCCGCCCUGGCUCAGUCCCUAAUUGCCCUUUGAUUCUAGACAAGCCACUUCUCCUCCUUGUGCUUGCAUUUUCCAAGGAAGUAGAAUUAGAGAAUAUCAAAAGUCUCUGUUAGCUCUGAGAGUCCAUGAUUGAAAGGUCCAGUAAAAUGUAAACCUCAGGGCCAAGGGCUCCUGUCUGUCCUUUUGCGUCCUUUAUCCCUGCUGUGAAGCAGUGUACCUACCCAUAUGGACUCAGUCAGUGUUUGCUCAAUGAGUGCACCUUCUGAAAUCACAAGCUGGCAGAAGGGUGGGCUUUCCUCAGACUCUGUCUCUAAAGGCUUAUGUUACUGUCCUUUUGAGAGAAUCCAGAUUCAGACUUUCAGUUCGGUGGCUCUGAGCCAAACCCAACAAAGACCCAAAUCCUCUGUCCUUGGGAGCUUGAGGAGAGUUUACCAGUUGGUGUUCCCAUUGGUUUUGAGUUUUUGCCUUUAAAAUCCAUUCCUGGCCCCUUAAUUUGACUCUCCCCAUUGAACCAACAGAAGAAACAAAUUGAAGAACAGCCGGAAGAAGUAACUGAUUUUUCUUUGUUUGCUCAGGACAUGACGGCAGGGUUUUGGGGCAACUCAGACCUAGAGGCACCAGUCUUGUCCUGCUCAUUCCCAGCCUGGGGAAGAAGGGUCACCCUGCAGAUUCCACCCCAUCCCCACAGGGUCCCUGAUAACCUGGUCCCAUGGGUGGGCCUGUCCUGGGCAUUGGUGGCAUUCCGGGGGCAUGUCCCUUGCUGUGCCAUCUCUGCCUCGCCCUAGUAAGACCUCUGUCUUCCUCUUCUACAGGAAAAGCAAGAAAGCCAGCAAAACCGGGGAGCCCUAAGGAGGCAGUUAGAGGAGAGUCCAAGGAUCUGGCCAGGCGCCUGCAGUAUUCCUUGCAGUGUAUGGGAGAGUUGGAGCAGGCUCUCUGCUGUCUCAUGCAGCAGAAGAAGGCAGACAGGCAGGGUUGUCUGAGAUGGAGCAACACCCAGGAGCAGAGGCUGAUCACCUGCGGAAGGAGCUGGAGAAUGUGGCAGGUGUAAAACCAGAUGAAAGAAAAUGAGGGCUUGAGUCACCUGAGUCAAUCACCAAAGCAGUCCGUUCUGUUCCUGUUCAUUCCUUUGUCUACUGCCUCUCGCCAUAACAACAGCAGUAAGGAGCUGAAGCAGGAGAACUCAGCUUUGGCAGAGCAGCUUUGAGUUGUACUGACUGACAAGGCAGGGAUGCAGCGUGACUUGGAGGAGCUGAAAAGAAACUAGAAAUUGAAGAUCUUACAGUUCAGCUGGCGUGAAGCCCCUGAUGCUAACCAGCAGUUACAGCAGGCCAUGGAGGAGCGGGCACAGCUGGAAGCACAUCCGGGCAGGUGAUGGAGUCACUUAACAACUAUGGAUGAAGAAAGAUCAACAGGCUGGAAAUCUGAAAGGGGAGCAUGCCAUGUGGUGGCAGAGGAUGUGGAAGAUGUCAGCAGAUGAGACCUGCCUCUAGAGCUCCUGCCUUAGAGAGGUCUCUUGAUUGUUUUGGGCAUCUGUGACAUGGGAGGAGCACAGCCAGAAGUGGUCAUGGGUCUGGGCUUUGUGGAGGUGGGAGCAGAGAGGGAGAUGGAAGCCUGUCCAUCCACCAGCUCCUCUCUCCGAGGCCCUUUCCCCCUGUAUUUCAGGAAGGUGUACACAGUGAAGAAGAGGGUGCAGAGCAAGAGUUGGGUACAGCAGCUGGUGACAAGCUUGGCCGAACUAAGGAAGUGGAUAAGCUGGGGUGGGGUGACCUGGGAGCAGGACUGGCAUCAGAGGGCUGUGGGGGUGGCUUACGAUGUCCCAAGGAGGCGGGUAUGUGGAAAGACUUCGAGGCAGUGGGAAAGAGGUCUGUGCCAAAGAUCAUUAAGUCUUGUAAUCUCCACGAGCCUCAAUGUCCCCAUCAGCAAAGAGGGAGGAGUGCCCAUGCCCAGCUACCCACAGUCGUCUCUCUCUGAAAGUGGCUUGGAAGAUUGGCUACCACCCAACUAUGAGGAAUCAUUUGCAGGGAGGCCAAGUUUGCAGAGCCUGAGAGGAGCUGUGGACCAAGAGGAGGUUGUUUUUUUUGUUUGUUUGUUUGUCUUAGAAUUCAGAGGCCAUUAUUGUCUGCUUUCUUUUUCAACUAAAUCCCCGCCCCCAGAACCCUCAGCAGGGCCGUUCCAGAAUAAGUAUCAGAUACAAGCAGAGGCUGGGCGUCUGUGAAAGGAGCUGGAGAAUCUGGCAGGACAGCUCUAAGCCUGUGUGCCAAAAAAAUGAGGGCUUGAGUCACCUGGACUGGGAGUAGGAAGAGAGGCUGCGAGAGCAAGAGGAGAGGCUGCUGGAGCUGGGGCAGAAGGCCAAGCUCUGAGAGGAGCAGGCAGAGGUGCUCAGGCAAACUGUGCAGAACGACCGUACCACCAUCAGCCAUGCUCUCCCAGAACCAUGAGCUGAAGGAGCAGCUAGGAGAUGGACUGGAGAGUGAGGAGGAGGAGGAAGAGGAGCCUUGGUCUAUGCUGAGCAUCCCAGAGGACCUGGAGAGCUGGGAGGCCAUGGAGAGCACAUCAUACUUUACAAGAGCCAGAGGGCAGUGCUGAAGAUGUGGCACCAGCAGGAGGAGUACAUUAACGGGAUUAUCCAGGAUAAGAAGGAAAUGAAAGAUGAGGGCGAAGCUGCUGGAGCCACUGAUGCUGCAACUUGUGAGUGGCAAGGCAAAUCCCUGGUCGCUGUUUAUAACCCUGCUGAUGAGUCCACUCUGAGGUCCCCAGCUCCCCAGGAGCGUGGGGCUGCCACCAAGCAGGGUGGUGAGUAGAGCUCUUUGCUGGCGGGAUGAGGAGAGGACUCACACGGCACUCAGAGCCCUGCCUCCCUCUCUCCAAAGAUCUCCCACAGCAUGGAGCCUGAAUGAGAGAAGGCCAGGGAGGGUUCUCCCCACAGCAGCUUCACUGCAUAGAAGAUCAAGCAGCUGUUUCAUGAGAUGCAGAGCCCUCAGUAACACCCAAGCUUGGACAGCAGCCCCUGCAUCCCCAUUUUUUACCGGGCUCAGGAGAACAAGGAGUUGAAGAUGACCAUCAUCUAAAAGCCUGCCACUGUCAGCAAAGCCUGAAGAUGUGAGAGCAGAGGCUCUGCCCCCACCAUGUCCCUGCCACCCCUUCCCAGUCAUCCCUUUACCCUUACAGUAGCAAAAUAAGACCCCUGUCUAAUGUGGGAGGCAGGUGCAGAUGAGGUGAAGAUCACAUCUAAAGCAGGCCACUAAAUUAAAAAAAAAAAGUUAUGGGAUUAAAGAAGUUAUGAAAAAAGGGAAAAAUGUUAUGAAAAAAAUUAUGAAAAAUGUUAGUUAUGGAACAGUUAUGGGAUAAAAAAGUCAUGGGAUAAAAAUUUAAGAAAUAAUAAUAAAAGCAGGCCACUGUCAGCAAAGCCUGGAGAAGUGGAGCUGGAGGCUCUGCCCCCACCGUGUCCCUACCACCCCUUCCCAGUCACCGCUUUACCUCCAUAGUAGCAAGACAAGACCCCUGUCUAAUGGGGUGAGGCAGGCAAGUGCAAACCCUUUGCCACCUUGGCCAGGGAAGAGUCCCUCAAUUUCUGGAUGAUUAUUGUUAUUUAAGAGCCAGAGUUGAUUUCUUUUGAGGAAGCCUCAUGUCCUCUCUGAUGGCCUUACUCUCAUUCAAAGCAAUUUUUCCCUCAUGGGGGCUCCCAUCUUGCUCAGAGAGGCAGCUGAGGCAGGACAAUGGAGCUAAUGUAGACAAGGUGACGGCACGGGCUGCUGGGGUAACCUCCCCCAGUGUACAUAUUGGAUCUGUGUAAUAUUUUGUCUAUUCCGGGGGUAGGGCCACCCCCUCUAUCAUACAUAGUGGAGGUUGGAGUUGGCACAUAGGGAGGAGGAUCUAACAAUUAUUUGUGGCUGGGAAACUUAUUUGAUAGCUUACGACAGAGGAAGGAGACAGGGACGGGGUUGUGGCUCCCUGGUGAUGCGACUCCUACUUAUUUUCCUUUUAAUUUUGGAAUAAAUGGAUUUUAGCCACACUGCUUGGCCUGGGGUGUUCCUGUUUCCCUCGCUGGGUUCUGGAGUUUAUGCCACUGAACAGAGAGCCCCAGUGUGUCUGAACAUGUCCAGCUGUGCUGUUGGGGACCUUCCAGGCCUAUUACCUCUAUGAUGCCUGGUGACACCUGGGGGAUUCCAUGGGGACUGCUCUGGAGCCCGUGGGAACAGUCUGGCCCUGACAGCCAAAGGUUCAGAAGGCUGAUUUAGUGGUGGCCACAAAGGCAGGGUCCCAGCAUUCAACAGCACUGUUUUCCAUCCAGCUCAGGCAUCUUCCGUUCUGUCUUCCUGCCUCCCUUGCCUGUCUGUGCCCCGUGGCCUGUUCUGUCUGUGCCCCCAGAGUGCCGGCUGCCCCACAGGCUUCCUCCAGGCUGAGUUCAUGGCCCUGUGUGCUAGUGGCCAGAGCCGGCUUCGCAGGAUGAGAGCCAGCUAAGCUUCAGGGGAGUUUCCAGGAAAAGUGUUCCUUGGAAAGGAUGUGGCCCUUUCACUGCUCCAAACAGUACCCUAGUAAUGGCUUGGCUUUUCCCUUCCCUUGAACUCCACAGAGAACACAGCUGGCAGAGGACACAUUCCCCGUCAUCCAGAAUGGGUUUGAUUCUCAGCCGAGGGACAGCAGGACUGGUAGAGACUGUCAGGCCACACGGCUGCCUGCAUAGCACCCCCGUGCUUGGCGGGGGGCUGAAGGGAUGGCGGAGACUGGCUCUUCACAGGCUGGGCAUGACAAAGAGGCUCAAUGGAGGUGGCACACUUUGAAGGGGCAACGUUCCUGUUGGCUACUGAACUCUUACUUGGGCAAUAGGUUGAAUGCCAAAAUGAGGAACCAUGGAUCUUCUUCGCCUUGGUGUGAUAUUCUUGGCUUCUUGCCAAAGGUUACCUUACUUUUGGUUUUGAUAAGGGAAGAGGGGACAAACAUGAAGGCACUUGUUGACUAAAAGGAAGUCUAACAAAAUGCUUCAGCAUUGAAAUGGAAAGAGAAAUGGAAAAGCUAGAAAAUAAACCUGUAAACAGACUUUUUCUCCUGUACUUCAUAGAAGCUCAGGAGAAAAAGUCCCCUCUUUCCAUACGGCCCACAGAUGCCAACAGUGGGAGAGGGUGGCAUGUUUGAAAAGGCAGAAUAAGAGCCUAUCCACAAGCCAGGGAGAUUUGGAAGUGACAUCAGCUACUCCUCUCCAGAUAGAGGGGAAAGGACAGAUCCUUAGAAACCCUAGAACUCAGUCUUUGUUACUGGAUUCUCUUGAGCAGCAGCUUGGAAAGACAACGAGGGGAAGAUUUUUAAUUUCACUUUCUAUGAAUUAUGCAGCCUUUGGCUGAGAUAAGCCAAGAGCCUCUCAGCAGGACUGAGAGUUUAUUUGGGCAGGAGAGAUUAUGUGCAGAUCAAGGAACCUAAGAAGAGCCUGCUCUGAAGAAUGCUGGCAGCAUCACAAAGGGGUGGAGUAGGAGCUGGAAUACAACACCCAGACUCCAGAGACUCUAGGGCACACCUUGGGAGAAGUUCCAAAUGUGGGCCCUAGUGAUGCCAUCUGCAGCAGAGAGAGCAAGUUCCAGAGAAGAUGGGAUGAGGAGCCAUAAUUUGAUGGUGAAAUGUCUUAUAUAUCAAAUCUUGGUAAUUGUACACAACUCUGCGUGUUUUGUGUUGUGUAAUUCCAUUAAUACAUGUUAUUUCAGGAAAAGUGGAUAAAAUCUAAUCAUCUCUCCCACAAUAUGUGUAUACAAGUGAGUGAGGAUGCCGCAGCUGCCUACCUGGCAAUCCUAAAAUAUCCAACUAACACUCAGGGGAGCCAUAAACUUUAAGGGUCUAAAUCAGCCACUACUCUUGUCACUGGGUUCCCUGGCCCAAGUAUAGUCUCAACCAAUCCGGCAGCCAUGGACCCAAAUUUGGGGUGAUCACAAUCAGUCUUUCUCUACCGUAUCCACAGAAUGCCCUGCCCACCCCAGCCUUGCACCCGACUACAGCCCAACUUACAAGUGCAUUAUCAUUGUCCCUGCCCUUAGGAGAGCAUCACAUAAUUCACAAGCAGGGGACUGAAGAGCAGGGAGUUGGUUUCAUUCAUCUUCUUUCUCUUUAUAUCUAGCCUAGUACAUGGUAUGGUCAGGCUCUGAACAUUUAUUUUUUAAGGAAUAAAAGAGGAAGGGGAGAAGAAGGAGACAGUUGGAAGACAGAGAAUUUAUGCUUGUGUGUAAACAUGAAAAGGAGAAUACUGCAAGAUGACUCUCAAAGAAAGAUCAUGUGGCUUUUUCCUCUUCAUUCUAUUAAUUCGGUUUAUUACAUUAUGACAUUGAUUGAUUUUUGUAUGUCAAACCACUCUUGCAUUGCUGGAAUAAAUCUCUAUAUCCUGUUAUGCUUUACUGUUCCAUCUUUUAUUUAUUUAUUCAUUUCCUGCUAAAUGUGUACAUGUUACCUCUGCAUUUGUCUCUCUUUUAUUGCUUGCAUGUUUUGCUAAUUUUCCUAAAUAAGCACAGUAUAUUUCACUGUCAAAGGCAGACUAGAACCAACUCAGCAAUAGAUGGCAGAAGGACUCAAAGAAAAGGGCAGUAGUUAACCAGUUACAGAGGCAGAACACACCGGCCUAAGUCAAGAUGAGGUUGAAAUGUCUAUUUGUUCCAUGCCCCAAAAUUUGUGGAUCAAGAGUGCUGACCUCCCUGGAAUCUUGUAAGAUUCUGCCCUAGAGAAUAGACAAAAGAGCUGCCAUCCUUAGGGUCUUGAUAUGAACUACUGAGAGGCUCCUUAACCAAUGGGAACAUGUCUCUGUAACAGCGUUUUGGGAAUUUAAGGAGCAUCAGGGAAACCUCACUUUGUUAAAGAGAUAAACCAAACCCUGCUAAUAAUGCAUUUGAGUAUACCAUUGGAGCUUCAUUUCCUUAGGUGAAGUGCCUGGACCUUCUUAAAUGUUAAACAC